UUGAAUUCAUUCAACUUUGAUCAAAUUCAUUGGAUCUUGUGGUUUGAGAAUCCUUAAGGAUCAUCACCUAGAAAGAUGAAUGAAUUUGAUCAAGGAUGAGUUAUCCCUUGAUCAAUUGGGAUUGGUUGUUGACUUUCUUGUGGUUUGAGAAUCCUUAAGGAUCAUCACCUAGAAAGAUGAAUGAAUUUGAUCAAGGAUGAGUUAUCCCUUGAUCAAUUGGGAUUGGUUGUUGACUUCUUACCCCCUCCCUUUC
rnacentral:lncRNA from 1 species